UACGGGGGGGGGUAAGCGUUGUUCGGAAUUACUGGGCGUAAAGGGCUCGUAGGCGGCCAACUAAGUCAUACGUGAAAUCCCUCAGCUUAACUGGGGAACUGCGUGUGAUACUGGAUGGCUUGGAUUUGGGAGAGGGAUGCGGAAUUCCAGGUGUAGCGGUGAAAUGCGUAGAUAUCAGGAGGAACACCAAUAGCGAAGGCAGCUCGCUGGGACGGUACUGACGCUGAGGCGCGAAAGCGUGGGGAGCGAACAGG
rnacentral:rRNA from 1 species